AAUGAACGCUGGCGGCAGGCCUAACACAUGCAAGUCGAGCGAGCGGCGGACGGGUGAGUAAUGUCUGGGAAACUGCCUGAUGGCGGGGGAUAACUACUGGAAACGGUAGCUAAUACGGCAUACCAUCAGAUGUGCCCAGAUGGGAUUAGCUAGUAGGUGGGGUAACGGCUUAACUAGGCGACGAUCCCUAGCUGGUCUGAGAGGAUGACCAGCCACACGGGAACGGAGACACGGUCAAGACUCCUACGGGAGGCAGCAGUGGGGAAUAUGGCACAAUGGGCGCAAGCCUGAUGCAGCCAUGCCGCGUGUGUGAAGAAGGCCUUCGGGUUGUAAAGCUCUGUCAGCGGGGAGGCGUUACCCGCAGAAGAAGCACCGGCUAACUCCGUGCCAGCAGCCGCGGUAAUAC
rnacentral:rRNA from 1 species